rnacentral:misc_RNA from 1 species
GAUGAAGAACUUAGCGAAAUGCGAUACUUGGUGUGAAUUGCAGAAUCCCGUGAACCAUCGAGUCUUUGAACGCAAGUUGCGCCCGAAGCCACUAGGCCGAGGGCACGCCUGCCUGGGCGUCACACGCCGUUGCCCCCCCAUCUACUCCUUCGGGAUUGCGGGGGGGCGGAUGAUGGCCUCCUGUGCGCCUAGCCGCGCGGUUGGCAUAAAUACCAAGUCCUCGGCGACGCACGCCACGACAAUCGGUGGUUGCGAAACCUCGGUUGCCCGUCGUGUGCGUUCGUCGCGCAUCGAGGGCUCGAAAAAAUGCUCGGCUCCGGCUGGGCUUUCAACGCGACCCCAGGUCAGGCGGGGUUACCCGCUGAAUUUAAGCAUAUCAAUAAGCGGAGGA